GGCUGAACAACAAGAAUCUGGUGCUAGUUUAGCUGCUGAUGCUUUUGCAAACAUCAAGCAUGUUCUUCUUCCGAUUACAGAUCGGAAUCCUUAUCUUUCGGAGGGAAGUAGACAGGCUGCAGCAACGACAGCUUCUUUGGCUAAGAAGUAUGGGGCAGAUAUCACAGUGGUUGUUAUUGACGACAAACCUAAAGAAUCUAUCCUAGAUCAUGAAUCUCAGCUGUCUAGCAUUCGGUGGCAUCUUUCAGAAGGUUGGUAAU